rnacentral:rRNA from 1 species
AGAGUUUGAUCCUGGCUCAGGACGAACCCUUGCGGCGUGCCUAAUACAUGCAAGUCGAGCGAGCUUGCCUAGAUGAUUUUAGUGCUUGCACUAAAUGAAACUAGAUACAAGCGAGCGGCGGACGGGUGAGUAACACGUGGGUAACCUGCCCAAGAGACUGGGAUAACACCUGGAAACAGAUGCUAAUACCGGAUAACAACACUAGACGCAUGUCUAGAGUUUGAAAGAUGGUUCUGCUAUCACUCUUGGAUGGACCUGCGGUGCAUUAGCUAGUUGGUAAGGUAACGGCUUACCAAGGCAAUGAUGCAUAGCCGAGUUGAGAGACUGAUCGGCCACAUUGGGACUGAGACACGGCCCAAACUCCUACGGGAGGCAGCAGUAGGGAAUCUUCCACAAUGGACGAAAGUCUGAUGGAGCAACGCCGCGUGAGUGAAGAAGGGUUUCGGCUCGUAAAGCUCUGUUGGUAGUGAAGAAAGAUAGAGGUAGUAACUGGCCUUUAUUUGACGGUAAUUACUUAGAAAGUCACGGCUAACUACGUGCCAGCAGCCGCGGUAAUACGUAGGUGGCAAGCGUUGUCCGGAUUUAUUGGGCGUAAAGCGAGUGCAGGCGGUUCAAUAAGUCUGAUGUGAAAGCCUUCGGCUCAACCGGAGAAUUGCAUCAGAAACUGUUGAACUUGAGUGCAGAAGAGGAGAGUGGAAUUCCAUGUGUAGCGGUGGAAUGCGUAGAUAUAUGGAAGAACACCAGUGGCGAAGGCGGCUCUCUGGUCUGCAACUGACGCUGAGGCUCGAAAGCAUGGGUAGCGAACAGGAUUAGAUACCCUGGUAGCCCAUGCCGUAAACGAUGAGUGGUA